rnacentral:rRNA from 1 species
UUAAUAUUUAUUUAUUAAUUAGUUUUGUUUUUUAUGAAAGUAUUAAAAAUAAUUAUAAAAUAAAUGGUUUUAGUAUAUUUUAAAGAAAAAAUAAAUUUAAUAAUAGUUAAAUAGUAUUGUAAAAGAAAAUUGAAAUAAUUUGAAAAAUUUUUAUUAUAAAAGAAAAUUUAAUUUAUUGUACCU